GAAUAUCAGCAAGAUUGAUCUGGCUGUAUAUAAGUCCAGACCUAUCUGUCGAUAUUGCC
rnacentral:pre_miRNA from 1 species